rnacentral:rRNA from 1 species
AUUGAACGCUGGCGGCAUGCUUUACACAUGCAAGUCGAACGGUAACAGGCCUUCGGGUGCUGACGAGUGGCGAACGGGUGAGUAAUGCAUCGGAACGUACCCAGAGGUGGGGGAUAACGCAGCGAAAGCUGUGCUAAUACCGCAUGUGAUCUGAGGAUGAAAGCGGGGGACCGAGCAGCAAUGUUCGGCCUCGCGCCUUUGGAGCGGCCGAUGUCGGAUUAGCUAGUUGGUGGGGUAAAGGCCUACCAAGGCGACGAUCCGUAGCUGGUCUGAGAGGACGACCAGCCACACUGGGACUGAGACACGGCCCAGACUCCUACGGGAGGCAGCAGUGGGGAAUUUUGGACAAUGGGCGCAAGCCUGAUCCAGCAAUGCCGCGUGCGGGAAGAAGGCCUUCGGGUUGUAAACCGCUUUUGGCAGGAACGAAACGGUGUCCGCUAAUACCGGGCGCUAAUGACGGUACCUGCAGAAUAAGCACCGGCUAACUACGU